UACGUAGGGUGCGAGCGUUAAUCGGAAUUACUGGGCGUAAAGGGCUCGUAGGCGGCCAACUAAGUCAUACGUGAAAUCCCUCGGCUUAACCGGGGAACUGCGUCUGAUACUGGAUGGCUUGAGUUCGGGAGAGGGAUGCGGAAUUCCAGGUGUAGCGGUGAAAUGCGUAGAUAUCUGGAGGAACACCGGUGGCGAAGGCGGCAUCCUGGACCAACACUGACACUGAGGAGCGAAAGCCAGGGGAGCAAACGGG
rnacentral:rRNA from 1 species